GUCCACCCGCCCCUGCCAGCGUACGGUUGCUCCAAGAAGUCGGCCGAAGCGUGCCUUGUGACGGGGACGGCGUGCUGCAGCGGCCAGUGCGUGGACACUGUCGCCGGCGUCCAACACUGCGGCGGCUGCAACAAAGCGUGCGAGCAUGGCCGGACAUGUUGUGGUGGACGUUGUGUGGAUCUUCUCUUUGACAAGAAGAACUGUGGCACCUGCUCUAACAAAUGCAACAAGAAGUGCAGCUACGGAUUCUGCGACUACGCUCAGUAA
rnacentral:rRNA from 1 species